rnacentral:lncRNA from 1 species
GAAGGACGUCAACCUCCUUAAUCCGCUGGCUGAGCUAGAGAAGCAAUCACAAGAAGAAGCAUCUCGUGCAGUCCAUCAACUCAUCAUGUACGUGCGCAUCAGAUCAUGUAUGGUCCAGAGGAAAUAUUCCUUUCUCUUUCAAUUGAUUUGUCUCCUGGCCCCUUUUGUCUUUGUUUUAUAUUGUCUGUAGGAUGUCAAGUGCCAGAACCGCUUCAACAUGUGAGCAUGAUCCUUUCCAUGCUUUAGUCAUGUGUUGCUAGCGAAACACAAUAACAUUAAUACCAUGUAUUUUGUAUUAUUGACUUGGGGAAUUGAUUUAAAUUGCUAUUGGUGGUUAUAAUAGUUUGCUAUACUUUUAGUAGGUUAUGUUUAUGCAAGUUAGACAUAGAGCUGCUGUUCGAGAAAGUAUGUAGAUUUAGGAAGUAGGAACAAGCCCAUCCUGUACUACUGUUGCGUUUUGCUGAUGUGCUCCUGUCGCAUGUGCUAAUGUUUGGGCUCUUGUCGCAAAAUCUGAAUUAUUGUUUGAAAAAAAGGGAGGUUUAAUUUAAUUUAAUUUGUUGUUAUUACACAAAAUGGACCACAAUGUCGAAUCAACCAUUGUUAUACACCUUUAGUAGUACAGUGUGAGAUACUUUGUCUUUGUUUUCGGACAAUCAACCCGCAGUCCAGGUUGAAGUGACUGAAAAACGGUCCGCUUCUGAAUUGGGAUCUCCACCCCAUAUAUCACUAUCCCGACACCCAGCACAGCCUGUCCUUCUCUGAGUUUUGGCACUGCCAGACCUCCUCUCCGACUUCCGGCCUUUCCGCGAGCUCCGGCCGAUGUUGUACCACGCACGACACUUGGGGCCACCCCGCGCCGUUGCAGUUUCCAUCUAGGAUGAUCAUAGCUUUCUCGAGGUCCGUCAGCCAUUUGCAUGCUAACUAUUCGGUCAAUUGACCCAACGGACCGGAGGGAAUUUUCUAUUUUUUUUUACUUUGGUUUUCCAUUUAGUACUAAAGUGAUCACGACCACAACCACUGGACAAGACUAAUCUUAUGAGGAAGGCAUCAAUAGCGAUCUCAUCGAAUGGGUUGUGUCGCUUUGUUUUGACCUGUAUUUCCAGGGCUCCAGCAUGCUAAGCCUAGAAGGUAUGCAACUGGUUAUCCUACCUCCCUUCUUUCAAAGAAAUUGGUUAUCCUACCUCUAUCCAUGGCAAUGUCCAUUUUCUUUUGGUAGUGAUGAUCCGCAUCAUGUUGUGGUUUGUAGUAAAAAAUAUAUGCCCUUUGCUGCGUUCAUUUCUUAGUAUCAGUUGACUUCUCAACUGUCUUCCGGUGUGAGAUUUAAUGUUCUGAAUAUAUAUAUUUUAAUUUUUGGAUCUGAUGAAUUGUCCAAGUGACUAUUUUUUUAGUAGUUUAUGGCAAUGCUAACAAAUGAUUUCGAUUUUCAAGUUAUGUAAAUUACAGCAAAAAUUCUGAGACCUUGUGAUUGCAGCGAAUACUAAAAAGAAUAUGUGAGGUACAGUAAGUAUGCUAUGGAGCCAAAGUGCAGCCCUGUAUCUGUUACUUAGAAGAUUUUCUUGUGACCUGUGUUACAUUCUGUCUUGAUGCCUUAGUUAUUUCUUCUUGAUGUGCACUUUGUGUUGCCAUAAAUUGGACAAUUGUCACUUUUUUUCUGCGGCUGUCGUGGAUACAAUUCAAGGACUUCUAGACAUCAUUAUAUAUUUUCUUAACUUGUUUUUAUGCUGAGUAUGUUUUGCUGGCUUGUCAGCUGUUGGGGAGGAUCACAGUGUCUAUGAUGAAGAAUAAGAAUUUGAAUUUGGAAGGAGCCUUUGUAAUCUCUUAUUAACAAGACUGCAACAUCUGUUUACGGUUCAUUAAGAAUGGUAUUUACCAAUACACUGGCGCCAUAUACCUUCGGUAUUUAUAAGUUCUUAUGUGCUAUUUCUAUCCCUCGAAUUUAUGUAUCAAUUGUGCAAUAUCUUGGCAUUUCAGGUAUGGGAAUAUUUGACUCCGGAGCUUUUGCUGAAUGGUAUUGUCGUCCAGAAGCUAGAGUUUGAAAGGUAUGUCCUGGUGCUCCUCACUUUCUGGGAUGAUCAAUCUCCUAUUAUACAUGGUGACGUACACAGGACAAGACCAAGCAAGCAUCAUGGUUGAUUUCAUGAGGAAGCUAGCUAGCUAUGUAUACGAAGCUAGCAGAUCAAAAGGCACACAGUCUGUGUACGCACGCAAGAGUUGUUGGCGGCUAAAAUCAUGAAGCAACAGACUGACAAAUUGUGGCCAGCAUACAGGCAGGCGAAAAUAGCCAGUGUAUUUGCAUGUUUUCUUGACUUAGACUACAAUGCAGUUAGUUUCCAUGAAAUAAAUUAUUUUGCCAUCUGCUCUUUAGAUACGGACAUACAAUAGAUUAAAUGUAUAGACGUCAGCACAAACUUCAAAUUUUGGGAGGUAACCAAAAUAGUUGGCACAACUUUGGGAGACAAAGAGAAUAGUUGUGCUUUAUUAGUAGGUAUAGAUAUUUAUUGAUUAAUAGUAUCAUCUAUUCCUAAUUUUUUUAAUAGUACCACCUCGCAAAUUUACAC